ACAAGUAAGCACUGCAAAAGAAACGAGCAAAACGACCGUUUUGCUACAGAAAGAUACAGUAUGUAUGCGUGUAAAGAGAGCGUUUUGGUGAAAGUUUUGGAAAUUCGCAUACUUCGUGCCAAUGAGACAACCGUUCCAACAUGAGAGUCGCACGCAGCAGUCCAUGAAGGUUCACCCGUACCAAAAGGGUACGGCGGGAAGGUCUCGCAGGGAAGUAGGUCACCACCGAUCGACGAAGCAGACAAGAUCCCGAUCCCGGCGAAUCUCGUGAACCGAGUCCAAUACAUUUUUGGGUAGCCAGUAGGUGUGAGUGUGCGCAGGCGAAAUAUAAUAUGCAGUAUCUCGAAAAAGGAGUCCGGGUGAUAUGUGCCAAAAAUGUGCCGAAACUACACCAGUCAAAAUAGCUCCGAUUCCACUUAGAAAAGCGAAAUAAUCUCGCUAUGACGUGAUGCUAGAGGAAUGUGUAAACAAUCGAAAGUGAAACAUCUGGCUAGCACUGGGAGGAAAAUGCCAAUCCAUAUUAUCAAAAGGUCCGCGCAGCAAAAAUGACACCAACGAUGAAUGAAUUGUAAACAUUGGCUCGAAAAGCUAACAAACACAUCGACACGAUGUGUCGAAUUAAUCUACAUCGAAAGUCUCUUUUUCUGAUCAGCUCCCCGCACUAUACGAAAUCCUAUAUUAUGCCCUCCCACAUCGACCUGUCCUGUACAGGAUGUUGAAAAAUAAAACUUUUCCUCACAGCUUCUCA